rnacentral:rRNA from 1 species
UACGUAGGUGACGAGCGUUGUCCGGAUUUACUGGGCGUAAAGAGCGCGCAGGCGGUCGUUCAAGUCGAGUGUGAAAGCCCCCGGCUCAACUGGGGAGGGUCACUCGAUACUGAUCGACUCGAAGGCAGGAGAGGGAAGUGGAAUUCCCGGUGUAGUGGUGAAAUGCGUAGAUAUCGGGAGGAACACCAGUGGCGAAGGCGGCCACCUGGACGGUAACUGACGCUGAGACGCGAAAGCGUGGGGAGCAAACAGG